GCUCGUUAGCUCCCCUCAAGCCACCUGCAAGCUGCUCGGUCCACUCGUAGCUUCAUGUCGGCGGAUCCCCGUCGAUUCACUCGACACAAACCAUGGCUGGCUGUGCAGUUCAUUGAACUAACAGACCGUCUCACAGCUCUGUUGUCAAGUUCUUCCGUUUUCCUCUAGGUGAUCCUGAGAGGCUAGACCUGUGGGUGAUCAACAUGAAGAGACCGAACUGGAUUCCGAGCCUCUGCAGUCAACACUUGAGAGACAACACUUGAGCAAUGACAAAAGGGUGACUCAGACAGCCUGCACCAGUGGAUGUCCAACAUGAGGAGACAGAACAGGACUCCAACAAGACUGAACACUAAGUUUCAUCACCUAUGCACUGACUCCAGGGACGGACGAGCCUGAAGGACUCAGCUGUGCUGACGGUGUUCUGUCUCUUAUGGGGAAUUAGAAAAAUAAAGCACUGGGUUUUUAUCUAAAUUGUAUCAAAUCAGAUUGUAAAAGAUAAUAAUUUUUUUAACCAACCAUAAUGAAUAUAGAAAUUAAAUCUAUUAUCCAUGAUACAUAGCAAUGAUUGCCAACUCUAGACAGUUGCAGGCCAUCUUUAGUUGAGGGAGAAAACGUGAAGUGUUGGGCCGAUGAAGCUUGUGCAGGUCGUCCUCGUGAUGACCAGCCUGAAGCUGCCGAUCUCCAUCAUGUUGCUGCUGAGGACAGAUCCGGUGCUGCAGUGCUUCAGCUAAUGAAAAGAAGAAACUCAUUAUAAAAUAAUGUCUUAUGUUGUGUAUGUUCCAGCAAAGACUGGUUCUUACAGUUUAUUCUGUGUUCAGCACCACAGAUUUCAGACAGAACCGAUGUACUGGGCUCUGGGUUUGUACCCUCAUAGUUGAACCACAUGUUGUAAGUAAGUUUGGAUCAAAGUGUCAGCCAAAUGAAAUGUAAUGUACUGACAGAAAUAAAACAUAGUACAAGUAGAUAAAAUGUAUUUCUACCUCAUCUGUAAUAUUCAAGGUGAUA